UUAAAACAAGUAUAUAAAUAGCUUAUAAAAAUCGCCGCGCUAAAGAGCAAAAUGAUCUCCUACUUCUAUUUUUUAAAUAAGUUUAACGUUGCGUAAUUUAUGGACGACCCUGGGAUAAAAAAAUUUAUUUCACCAAUCAAAUUAAAUCUCGACGUGUCGAGCAGCGCCAAGUUAAUUCAUUCAGUAAAAAUUUGUAAUGCCCUAAUCAUUUAGUAAAAAUUUGUAAAGCUUGAGUGAGAAGAGAAGCGCAUAAAUCUCAACAAUAAUUGAAUUUUUCUAUCAUAAGAAAAUAACAAAUAUCAAAAGCUGUUAUCCAUCAAGUACAACGAUCACUGCUACUAUGAAAGAAAUACAACCGUCGAAGUGUUGCAAAACAAAUAAGUUGAAUGAAGAACUAAUAUUGCACAAUUUCAUUUGCCUGAUAAUUUUCUAAAGUUUCGUUAUAUGUUCCCAUUCUUCAAGCAUCUUGGUGUCAGUUGAUUUCAGCUUAGCUAGUUAUUCUUAAAAGCUUAACUAUUCAAUAAGAACCGAAAAUAUUUUUAAAUUAAUUUUGUUUAUUUUAGUAAUAUGUGUAUUUAUGUUGAAAUUUAAUACUCAAGUAGGAGGAAGCGUGAAAAUA